rnacentral:rRNA from 1 species
AGUGGGGAAUAUUGGACAAUGGGGGCAACCCUGAUCCAGCCAUGCCGCGUGAGUGAAGAAGGCCUUAGGGUUGUAAAGCUCUUUUAGCGGGGACGAUAAUGACGGUACCCGCAGAAUAAGCCCCGGCUAACUUCGUGCCAGCAGCCGCGGUAAUACGAAGGGGGCUAGCGUUGUUCGGAAUCACUGGGCGUAAAGCGCACGCAGGCGGACUGAUAAGUCGGGGGUGAAAUCCCGGGGCUCAACCUCGGAAUUGCCUUUGAUACUGUCUGUCUUCGAGUUCGGGAGAGGUUGGCGGAAUUCCUAGUGUAGAGGUGAAAUUCGUAGAUAUUAGGAAGAACACCAGUGGCGAAGGCGGCCAACUGGCCCGAUACUGACGCUCAUGUGCGAAAGCGUGGGGAGCAAA